rnacentral:rRNA from 1 species
AGUGAACGCUGGCGGUAGGCCUAACACAUGCAAGUCGAACGGCAGCACAGUAAGAGCUUGCUCUUACGGGUGGCGAGUGGCGGACGGGUGAGGAAUACAUCGGAAUCUACUUUUUCGUGGGGGAUAACGUAGGGAAACUUACGCUAAUACCGCAUACGACCUACGGGUGAAAGCAGUGGAUCUUCGGACCUUGCGCGAUUGAAUGAGCCGAUGUCGGAUUAGCUAGUUGGCGGGGUAAAGGCCCACCAAGGCGACGAUCCGUAGCUGGUCUGAGAGGAUGAUCAGCCACACUGGAACUGAGACACGGUCCAGACUCCUACGGGAGGCAGCAGUGGGGAAUAUUGGACAAUGGGCGAAAGCCUGAUCCAGACAUACCGCGUGGGUGAAGAAGGCCUUAGGGUUGUAAAGCCCUUUUGUUGGGAAAGAAAAGCAGCAGGUUAAUACCCCGCUGUUCUGACGGUACCCAAAGAAUAAGCACCGGCUAACUUCGUG